rnacentral:pre_miRNA from 1 species
UCUGAAGGUCUUGCCAGUGAGCUUCAAUGACUGAUUCAUCAAGAGGGCGGGCACUGGACUAGGAGUCAGAAA